UACGUAGGGGGCAAGCGUUGUCCGGAAUCAUUGGGCGUAAAGAGCGCGUAGGCGGCCCGAUAAGUCCGCUGUGAAAGUCAAGGGCUCAACCCUUGAAUGCCGGUGGAUACUGUCGGGCUAGAGUCCGGAAGAGGCGAGUGGAAUUCCCAGUGUAGCGGUGAAAUGCGUAGAUAUUGGGAGGAACACCAGUGGCGAAGGCGGCUCACUGGACCGGAACUGACGCUGAGGCGCGAAAGCGUGGGGAGCAAACAGG
rnacentral:rRNA from 1 species